UACGAAGGGGGCUAGCGUUGCUCGGAAUCACUGGGCGUAAAGGGUGCGUAGGCGGGUUUUUAAGUCAGGGGUGAAAUCCUGGAGCUCAACUCCAGAACUGCCUUUGAUACUGGGGAUCUCGAGUCCGGGAGAGGUGAGUGGAACUCCGAGUGUAGAGGUGAAAUUCGUAGAUAUUCGGAAGAACACCAGUGGCGAAGGCGGCUCACUGGCCCGGUACUGACGCUGAGGUGCGAAAGCGUGGGGAGCAAACAGG
rnacentral:rRNA from 1 species